GCGCUGUUCUAAGUACUAUGUGUACAGCAAGCCUCCUAAGGACUCUGUGAGGAAGGUACUAGUGUUAUCCUCAUCUCACAGACAGAGACACUGAGGCACAGUAGAGAGUUAAAAACUCAUCCGGGCUACACAGUUGCUGGGUGGUACAGACAGAGUGGUUUACACCACUGCCAGUGACAAGAAAAGCAAGACGAUAGACUGCGUCCUGUGAGGAUCUCAGCCCUCCCCCGAUGAAGGGGACUCUGAUGGGUCCCUCUCCUCUGCCAUGCCACUGGCAUUGUUCAGUAGCAAGAGAGUAAGCAGUGACCCUGGGAGGCCACUCAGUUUCCAGACAGGAGCAAGCAGGGCCUGAACUAGGCCAGGACUCGGGGAACAAAAGGUUGGAGGAGGGGACCAGAGAAGAGAUCUCCCUGAGGCUCAGAUGAGAAGUCACAAAGCUCACCAUCUGAGAAAACGCAGAUUCCACACCGCAAGGUCUUAGAUCCUGGCCCCAGGAGAUACGGUGGUGAUCUGUCUUCAACAUCCCGGGGUCUGGAGAAGCAACAUCAUGGAAAGAGCUUGGAUCCUCAACACUGACAAGAGUUCAGAUCACCCACCCAGACUUGCAUGGAUAAUCCGGCUGCUGAGAGGAAGGCAUGAGACCACGCAUGAGAGAGAGAGUAUGUGCGUGCACACAUGGAGAGAAGCAGAGGGAGAAUGAGA